UGGGGAAUAUUGGACAAUGGGCGAAAGCCUGAUCCAGCAACGCCGCGUGGAGGAUGAAGGCCUUCGGGUUGUAAACUCCUGUCAGGUGGAACGAAAAACCUCAGCUAAUAACUGAGCAUAUGACGGUACCACCAGAGGAAGCCCCGGCUAACUCUGUGCCAGCAGCCGCGGUAAUACAGAGGGGGCAAGCGUUAUUCGGAAUUAUUGGGCGUAAAGGGCGCGUAGGCGGCCAAGCAAGUCAGGGGUGAAAUCCCUCGGCUCAACCGAGGAACUGCCUCUGAAACUGCAUGGCUUGAGACCGGGAGAGGGUGGUGGAAUUCCCAGUGUAGCGGUGAAAUGCGUAGAUAUUGGGAGGAACACCGGUGGCGAAGGCGGCCACCUGGACCGGUUCUGACGCUGAGGCGCGAAAGUGUGGGGAGCAAACAGG
rnacentral:rRNA from 1 species